rnacentral:rRNA from 1 species
UACGUAGGGGGCUAGCGUUGUCCGGAAUCAUUGGGCGUAAAGCGCGUGUAGGCGGCCAGGUAGGUCUGCUGUGAAAACUCGAGGCUCAACCUCGAGACGUCGGCGGAAACCAUCUGGCUAGAGUCCGGAAGAGGAGAGUGGAAUUCCUGGUGUAGCGGUGAGAUGCGCAGAUAUCAGGAAGAACACCCGUGGCGAAGGCGGCUCUCUGGGACGGUACUGACGCUGAGACGCGAAAGCGUGGGGAGCGAACAGG